rfam:Aedes albopictus isolate Foshan contig96323, whole genome shotgun sequence.
UGCUCUGUGGCUUAGUUGGUUAAAGCGCCGGUCUAGCGAAUACGGAGUCGUGGGUUCGAAUCCCACCAGAACGC